UGUACACACAAUGUAGCAAACCAGCGAACUGUUGAUGUCCCUCGAGGGGCCUCAUCCGGAGGUGAGGCCGCUGAUGGCUUGGAUCGGUCGAGAGGCCGGCCCGUGGGUGAGGCGGGUCCUUGCUGUCGGCCGGAGUGUCCCGCACUUGCGGUUCCGAUUGUCGGAGGUUGGCAACCUUCUCGCGAGGGGGGCCGGACAACUGCUGUCGAUCGGGGUCGGGCUCUCCCCUCCCCCUUUGUCUCCGUCUUUGGGGGCAUUGGGGCCAUUUUUCACGAGAACUUUGAGGAACGAGAAUGCAAGGAUUGAGCUCGGGGCUGUGCGUCGCCUUCGCGGGUAGGUGCACGCCCCGGGUUGAAGAUCACAAGAACGACUCUCAGCAACGGAUAUCUUGGCUCUUGCAACGAUGAAGAACGCAGCGAAAUGCGAUACCUAGUGUGAAUUGCAGAAUUCCGCGAAUCAUCGAGUCUUUGAACGCAAGUUGCGCCCGAGGCUUGUCCCGAGGGCAUGCCUGCCUGAGCGUCAUCGCACUCCCACCAGAAGAUCUCUCGAGCGUGGAACUGGCCAUCCGAGACCCGGCGUGAAGCUGAAGGGUUGCGGUCGGCUGAAAUGUAGCGAUCUGGAUGCAGCCGGAGAGAGGAGGCCGCGAGAAGGUGAUCUGCCUCUUAUUUGGCGGAGUCUAAUUUGGAUAGCGCCUCUCUCUUUUCGGUGGUCCGGUCGGCAACCACGAGGGGCGAGUAACUUUGCGCUUCCCCUCCCUACAGCUUGGACCUCAGAUCAGGCAAGAGUACCCGCUGAGUUUAAGCAUAUCACUAA
rnacentral:rRNA from 1 species